rnacentral:rRNA from 1 species
CCUACGGGAGGCAGCAGUGAGGAAUAUUGGUCAAUGGGCGCGAGCCUGAACCAGCCAAGUAGCGUGAAGGAUGACUGCCCUACGGGUUGUAAACCUCUUUUAUAAAGGAAUAAAGUGAGGCACGUGUGCCUUGUUGUAUGUACUUGAUGAAUAAGGAUCGGCUAACUCCGUGCCAGCAGCCGCGGUAAUACGGAGGAUCCGAGCGUUAUCCGGAUUUAUUGGGUUUAAAGGGAGCGUAGACGGGUUGUUAAGUCAGUUGUGAAAGUGUGCGGCUCAACCGUAAGAUUGCAAUUGAUACUGGCAGCCUCGAGUACAGUUGAGGUAGGCGGAAUUCGUGGUGUAGCGGUGAAAUGCAUAGAUAUCGCGAAGAACUCCGAUUGCGAAGGCAGCAUACUAAACUGACACUGACAUUGAGGCUCGAAAGUGUGGGUAUCGAACAGGAUUAGAUACCCCAGUAGUC